rnacentral:rRNA from 1 species
CCUGGUGGUUAUAGCGUAGGUGAAACACACGAUCCCAUCCCGAACUCGAACGUGAAACCCUAUAGCGCUGAUGGUACUUUGUCUUAUGACACGGGAGAGUAAGUCGUUGCCAGGC